UGUAUCAAGUGUGACUAGUGUGGGUAAAGUCCUCCAUUGGUUGGAAAUGUGAAGACUUGAGGGGGAGUGUUUUAGGUGAAUAUGUGGUGUGUCUUUCACAAAGAUGUUACACCUCCCACUUAGAUCCAUUAAUUUUUUUUUAUUGUUGUUACUAGUUUUAGGCCUAAUUAUACACCUUGUGGUCUUAUUGCUUGCAAACUUUCUUUUUACUUUUUUUUAAUCUUGAUUAAUUAUUGAUUUAUUAAACUAAACUC
rnacentral:lncRNA from 1 species